CAUUGAGACACUGGUUCCGAUAUGAUCACCGAAGUGAAGCAACAUUGAGAUUGGUCAGUAACUAGAUGGGUAACCUCUUGGGAAUACCAGGUCUUGUAAG